rnacentral:misc_RNA from 1 species
AACGGUCUAUACCUGCGGUACCUGCGGAAGGAUCAUUACCGAGUUUACAAAACUCCCAAACCCUUUGUGAACCUUACCUAUCGUUGCUUCGGCGGGAACGCCCCGGCGCCCUCGCGGCCCGGAACCAGGCGCCCGCCGGAGGCCCCAAACCCUCAUGUCUUUAGUGGUUUCCUCCUCUGAGUGACAUAAACAAAUAAAGUAAAAACUUUCAGCAACGGAUCUCUAGAUCGGAAGAGCACA